GACGAACGCUGGCGGCGUGCUUAACACAUGCAAGUCGAGCGGUAAGGCCCUUUCGGGUACACGAGCGGCGAACGGGUGAGUAACACGUGGGUGACCUGCCCUCAGCUCUGGGAUAAGCCUGGGAAACUGGGUCUAAUACUGGAUAUGACUCCACGGUGCAUGUCGUGGGGUGGAAAGCCUUGUGCGGCUGAGGAUGGGCCCGCGGCCUAUCAGCUUGUUGGUGGGGUGANGGCCUACCAAGGCGACGACGGGUAGCCGGCCUGAGAGGGCGACCGGCCACACUGGGACUGAGACACGGCCCAGACUCCUACGGGAGGCAGCAGUGGGGAAUCUUGCGCAAUGGGCGAAGGCCUGACGCAGCGACGCCGCGUGAGGGAUGACGGCCU
rnacentral:rRNA from 1 species